GUGGGGAAUCUUGCGCAAUGGGCGAAAGCCUGACGCAGCCAUGCCGCGUGAAUGAUGAAGGUCUUAGGAUUGUAAAAUUCUUUCACCGGGGACGAUAAUGACGGUACCCGGAGAAGAAGCUCCGGCUAACUUCGUGCCAGCAGCCGCGGUAAUACGAAGGGGGCUAGCGUUGCUCGGAAUUACUGGGCGUAAAGGGCGCGUAGGCGGACAGCUUAGUCAGAGGUGAAAGCCCAGGGCUCAACCUUGGAAUUGCCUUUGAUACUGGCUGUCUUGAGUGUGGGAGAGGUGAGUGGAACUCCGAGUGUAGAGGUGAAAUUCGUAGAUAUUCGGAAGAACACCAGUGGCGAAGGCGACAUACUGGUCCAUUACUGACGCUGAGGCUCGAAAGCGUGGGGAGCAAACAGGAUUAGAAACCCCAGUAGUCC
rnacentral:rRNA from 1 species